rnacentral:rRNA from 1 species
CCUACGGGAGGCAGCAGUGGGGAAUAUUGCACAAUGGGGGAAACCCUGAUGCAGCGACGCCGCGUGAGCGAUGAAGUAUUUCGGUAUGUAAAGCUCUAUCAGCAGGGAAGAAAAUGACGGUACCUGACUAAGAAGCCCGGCUAACUACGUGCCAGCAGCCGCGGUAAUACGUAGGGGGCAAGCGUUAUCCGGAUGUACUGGGUGUAAAGGGAGCGUAGACGGCAGCGCAAGUCUGAAGUGAAAUGCCGGGGCUUAACCCCGGAACUGCUUUGGAAACUGUGCAGCUAGUGUGCAGGAGAGGUAAGUGGAAUUCCUAGUGUAGCGGUGAAAUGCGUAGAUAUUAGGAGGAACACCAGUGGCGAAGGCGGCUUACUGGACUGUAACUGACGUUGAGGCUCGAAAGCGUGGGGAGCAAACAGGAUUAGAUACCCGGGUAGUC